rnacentral:lncRNA from 1 species
GUGAAGACAAGGUCAUUCUGGAUGUUGAUGGGGACAAGAUUAUCCCCGGACGUUGGCGAGAGCAAGGGGAUCUCUGCAUGUUUGGUGAAUGUUGAUGGGGACGAGGUCAUCUCUGCAUGUGGGUGGGGACAAGGUCAUCCUGGAUGUUGAUUGGGACAAGGUUAUCUCUGCUUGUUAGUGGGGACAAGGUCAUCCCUGGGUGCUUAUCGGGACAAGGUCAGUCCUGUAUGUUGAUGAGGACAAGAUUAUCCCCGGACGUUGGUGGGGACAAGGUGAUCUCUGCAUGUUUGGUGAAUGUUGAUGGGGACGAGGUCACCUCCACAUGUGGGUGGGGACAAAGUC